rnacentral:rRNA from 1 species
UCCUACGGGAGGCAGCAGUGAGGAAUAUUGGUCAAUGGUCGGGAGACUGAACCAGCCAAGCCGCGUGAGGGAUGAAGGUACAGAGUAUCGUAAACCUCUUUUGUCAGGGAACAAAGGCGGGGACGUGUCCCCGGAUGAGUGUACCUGAAGAAAAAGCAUCGGCUAACUCCGUGCCAGCAGCCGCGGUAAUACGGAGGAUGCGAGCGUUAUCCGGAUUUAUUGGGUUUAAAGGGUGCGCAGGCGGUCUGUUAAGUCAGCGGUCAAAACCCGGGGCUCAACCCCGGCCCGCCGUUGAAACUGGCAGU